GGGAUUAGGGUUUGAUUAUGGCUCAGGAUGAACGCUAGCGGCAGGCCUAAUACAUGCAAGUCGAACGGUAACAUUGGUGCUUGCACCAGAUGACGAGUGGCGCACGGGUGCGUAACGCGUAUGCAAUCUACCUUUUACUAGAGUAUAGCCCAGAGAAAUUUGGAAUAAUCCUCUAUAAUAUCUUUAAGUUUCAUGACUUUUAGAUUAAAGUUUUAACGGUAAAAGAUGAGCAUGCGUCCUAUUAGUUUGUAGGUGAGGUAACGGCUCACCUAGACUACGAUAGGUAGGGGCCCUGAGAGGGGGAUCCCCCACACUGGUACUGAGACACGGACCAGACUCCUACGGGAGGCAGCAGUAAGGAAUAUUGGACAAUGGACGAAAGUCUGAUCCAGCCAUGCCGCGUGCAGGAUGAAAGCCCUAUGGGUUGUAAACUGCUUUUAUACAGGAAGAAACACUCGUACGUGUACGAGCUUGACGGUACUGUAAGAAUAAGGACCGGCUAACUCCGUGC
rnacentral:rRNA from 1 species